GCCACCCAUCAGAAAGGUCUGGGGCUCAGCCUCAGCAGGCUGCCGCCAUCUGGCUCCUUGGGCUCUUUGCGCCCACUCUCACCCCCUGUAUCUGCCAGGCCUCAGCAGGAUAGAGGGGGCUGUGUCCUGGGACACAGGCUGUGACUGCAGGGUGGUUACCAAGCUGCCGUGGCAAGCGAGGUCAAGGACGCCAACAGGACCUCAAGGACAGGUGAGGUCAUAGCUGAUGGAAGCCCUGUUUUGGGUAGCAAAUCAGCUGCUGUCAAACUUCAGAGAGCGAGAGAAGGAGAGAGGGGGGGAGAGAGAGAGAGAGAUCCCACCAGGGGAGCAGGUGCCCUCACCUCACCUGCUCCCUCUAGCCGCCUACCUCCGUCUCGCAUUGGCUGAGCUGAGGGCUGGGCCUUGGCAGUGCAUGGAGGUCACCCUUGUCCGUGGCGAUGAGUCCAUGGAGGUCAACCUCCCAGGCAGAGAGCCGACUGGGAAAUGGACGUGAAUCUAGAAGGCAAACAGUGAGUAUCCCAAAGCCCACCGUUCCCCACAGUCACACCACCACAGCCCAUUGUCCCCAGAGCAGCCCGGAAGAUCCUUGGGCUCUGGGGGACCAGAGAGGAAGGCAGAGCUGCAGGGUGGACAGAGCCGGGUCCAUAGGACAGCAGCAGCAGCAGGAGGGCCUCCUGCCACCAGGAAUUCUCCUCUGGGCUGAGAGGCAGAGAAUCCAUCUCAGCUGUGAUUCGGGAGAGACGCUGGGAGUCUGCCUGCUCCCCUUUAGCCCUGACACAUCUAUAAAACAGGUGACAAUGGUGUCACCUCCAUAAGGUUGAUGGAAGAAUUAGAUGAGAUAAAAUUGCUCAGGGAGAUGCUUGGCAAUGUCCCAAGUUCCCAAGCAAUGGCAACAAUUAUUGUUACUUAAUAUUUGAAGUGCACACAUGAUCAUAUCAUGCCACUCCUUUCUCCCCUAAUGCCUUAUCAUGGGCUCUGAAGAGAUCCUUCCAGCAAACAGAUCAACUGUGGAGGGUGUGUGUGUGGAGGGGAAGGCCCACAGCCCCCCACCCCCCACUGCACCCCAAGAGGCUUCUGACCCCAUGCCUUUCAGGCAGAGCCCAAAGAGGAGGGUCCUACCCUUUCUAGGCAAAGUGUCCCCCAUGGGAUCACAUGUGGCUGCCAGGCCCCAAGAUGCCCUAGGGGACCAUGGCUCCAGCAUCCGCUCUGAAUCCCAGCUGGCCCCUGACUCUAGGAUCCUUACUGUGCCUUGGGAGCCCGGGUCACUGGAGUGGUGGGGAACCCUGUGGGAGAGACCAUGUGGGGAGCCGCAGAGAUGGGAGAGGAGACAGCCCCAGUCACCCAGGUGAACCAGGUGAGCCCCGCCUCCUUGGGAUCCCCGCAAAAGCAUCCAGUGUGUGCCUGGGACACAGGUCCACUCUCCUGUCCUGCGGAUCCCCAGCCACCUGCCCCUCCAGCCAUCACACGAGCAGGAGGUCCCAGAGCUGCCCCAGCCACCCUCAGAUUCAAAGGGAGUAACAAAGGUUUCCCGCCAGUUUCUGGGGGUGCCGUGUAGCAGCAGGUCCCCGGCAGCGAGCCAGGCCAGGCCACGGGGGCCGGGGACUAGCUACUUGCUGCCCCCGCCCACGGUGCAGGGAGAGCGGCCACUGCAGGCGCAGGG
rnacentral:lncRNA from 1 species